GCCCCGUGCUUGCACGGACUCUAGGGGCCUGCGCUGUGGUGGAAUUAGCCCUCCCUCCCGCCGGGGCCUUGGCCCGGGCUCGAUUCUGGGCUGUGGGCAUAGGAAAGGCUUGCCAGGCGCCGGCCAGGGCCCUGGACUCUGCAGGGCUCCAGCUUCCUGGGCGCUGAUGGACGAACUCGGCGUUCAAAUCUGUUACUUGGCAGGGGCCGCAGCCGGGCCAUGCUCGGCUCACACAGAUCUCCGCCGGUCUUUCCAGUGCGACGCUAUUCGCAGCUUCGAAGCAAGAACUGAUACCAACGCCCGUGUAAAGGCGAGUUACUGUCCACUCCGUGUCUUGGCAAGAGAACAGUGAGCACGCAGAUCCCUGCUUGAGGCUGAUGUCGGCCCAGCUCUGAUAUGCUGCAGUCCAUGCCAGCCCCGCCAACCUGCCCUUCUGGGGGUCUCUGUGCUACCUACCCAAGGACUUUGAAGGCAGCAGGGAGGCUCACCCUAUGACCUGUCACUGAUCUGAUUACUUCUAUCUCUCUGAGAAAUAAAACUUUUUUUCCCCAGA